rnacentral:rRNA from 1 species
UGGUCAAGUUAUUGCGGCACAUAGAGGAUACCUUGGCACUGCAAGUCGAUGAAGGACGCGAUUGGCUGCGAUAAGCCUCGGGGAGCUGUCUAAAUAGCUUUGAUCCGGGGAUCUCCGAAUGGGCAAACCUAUGGCGGUUAAUACCGUUAUAUCCUUCGAUUUAUCGAAGGGGGACAACCCGCUGAACUGAAACAUCUUAGUAAGCGGAGGAAAAGAAAACAAUAGUGAUUUCGGGAGUAGUGGCGAGCGAAACCGAAAGAGCCUAAACCCAUCUUUAUGGUGGGGGUUGCGGGACCGUAACGUGGGAUCAACGAAUCUAGCGGAAUCUGCUGGAAAGCAGAGCCACAGAAGGUGAUAGUCCUGUAUGCGAAAGAUUCAAUGACUCUAGCGGUAUCCCAAGUACAACGGGACACGAGAAAUCUUGUUGGAAUCUAGGAGGACCAUCUCCUAAGGCUAAAUACUCUGCAGUGACCGAUAGUGAACAAGUACCGUGAGGGAAAGGUGAAAAGAACCCAGGAAUGGGAGUGAAAUAGAACGUGAAACUGUGUGCCUACAAGCAGUCGGAGUCCCGGCGUAAGUUGGGAUGACGGCAUGCCUAUUGAAGAAUGAGCCGGCGACUUACAGUUGCAAGCAAGCUUAGGGUGUUGAGCCUGAGGCGUAGCGAAAGCGAGUCUUAAAUGGGCGAUUUAGUUUGCAGUUGUAAACCCGAAACCGAUAGCGAUCUAUCCUUGAGCAGGAUGAAUCCCGAGUAACAUCGGGAGGAGGUCCGAACCGGUUGAUGUUGCAAAAUCAUCGGAUGACUUGUGGAUAGCAGUGAAAAGCUAAACGAGCUCGGAGAUAUCUGGUUCUCCUCGAAAUGGUUUUAGGGCCAGCCUCAAAUUUACCCUUGCAGGGGUAGAGUACAGUUUGAACUAGGGUCCCGAAAGGGAUUCCAACUUCUCGCUAACUCCGAAUACUGCAAGGCCAAUGUUUGGGAGUGAGACUACGAGGGAUAAGCCUCGUGGUCGAAAGGGAAACAGCCCUGAUCGCCAGCUAAGGUUCCUAAGUACAAGCUAAGUGGGAAAGGAAGUAAGGUCACACAAACAGCCAGGAGGUUGGCUUAGAAGCAGCCAUCCUUUAAAGAGUGCGUAACAGCUCACUGGUCGAGUGUCUUUGCGCCGAAAAUACACGGAGCUAAAGCUUGUCACCGAAGCUGCGGGUUAUUUCUAACUUCGGUUAGAGGUAGCGGUAGAGGAGCGUUCCAUACUAGGUUGAAGUUCUGGCGUGAGCCAGGAUGGACGAAAUGGAAGUGAGUAUGUCGGCAUAAGUAACGAAAAGACGGGUGUAAAUCCCGUCCGCCGAAAGUCUGAGGUUUCCUGGGGAAGGUUCGUCCUCCCAGGGUAAGUCGAUGUCUAAGUUGAGGCCAGAAUAACUGGCGUAAGCGAAGGUAAACCGGUUAAUAUUCCGGUACCACCUACAUUGUUAACCAAAGGGACACAGGAGGAUAACUCAUAACACUUAUUAGAUUGUGGCACCCCGAGAGCAAUCGAGGGGGACUUGAGUGACUCCACACUGGCAAGAAAAGCUUUGGGUAUUGGUGUGGGUGAUCGUACUACAAACCGACACAGGUGGACAGGCUGAACAAGCCAAGGCGCGCGAGAUAACUCUCUCUAAGGAACUCUGCAAAAUGGUCCCGUAACUUCGGGAGAAGGGACGCCCUGACUUUAAGUCGGGGUCUCAGAAACCAGGCUCUUGUGACUGUUUAACAAAAACACAGGUCUCUGCUAACCCAUAAGGGGAUGUAUAGGGGCCGAUGCCUGCCCAGUGCUGGAACGUUAAGGGGAUGUUUGAGAUUAUAUCAAGGACUGAACCGAAGCGCCAGUGAACGGCGGCCGUAACUAUAACGGUCCUAAGGUAGCGAAAUUCCUUGUCGGGUAAAUCAAGGUCGGUCUUACUUGCCCGAGCGGAAUGGUAACAGUCCGCGAGUAAACUAGCUGUAACGGUGAAAAUCCGCCUCUGGCGGAUAAUACCGUGGGAAGUUUUCUAUCGUCACAUGAUAGAAUAACCCCGUAACGACUGAGCCGAAAGGCGAGAUCCGUUAUUUAGCGGAUAAAACGCUAGCUCUUGCCGAAAGAGAGUUGCAAUGAAGAAUCCAUGGUAUAUAACAGGCUUAUGUGAUGGAGAAGGCUGUUUUUCAGUUUCGUUUAAUUUUAGACGUAAAUUGAAUACAGGCAUUGAAGUUAGACCAAGUUUCUCUGUGACCCUGAAUAAAAGAGAUCUGGAUAUUAUUGAGAAUGUCCGGCAAUAUUUUGGGGUUGGGGGAGUGAGGUUUUCCAGUUCAGAUCAAUGCUAUAAGUUUGAAGUGCGCAGUAUAAAGGAUAUAUAUAAGAAAGUAUUGCCGCACUUUGAAUCAUAUCCUCUUCAGAGCGCUAAGCGGUGGGAUUUUGAGAUAUUUAAGGAGAUUUGCCUUCUGGUUUACAAUAAUCAACAUCUUUCCAAGGAAAGAUUAGAAGAAAUAAUCAGACAGGCUUACAAGAUGAAUCCUUCAGGAAAAAGAAAAAUUACCAUCGAGAAACUUCUAAAGCAACUGGCAAGAUGAAGAUAUAGUCUGAACUGCAUAGAAAUGUGCAGCUAACAUUUGAAGUUCCGACCCGCACGAAAGGCAUAACAACAGGAGCGCUGUCUCGGAGAGAGACUCGGUGAAAUUGGGAUGUCCGUGAAGACACGGAUAACUUGCACCAGGACAGAAAGACCCCGUGGAGCUUUACUGUAUCCUGGCUUUGAAUUUCGAUAUUACUUGCGUAGAAUAGGUGGGAGGCUUUGAUGAGAGGCUUUCGGGCUUCUUGGAGCCAUUAGUGAAAUACCACCCUGGUUGUGUUGGAGUUCUAACCCUGGUAGUGAAUACCGGGGAACAGAGUUAGGUGGGCAGUUUGACUGGGGCGGUCGCCUCCCAAAGAGUAACGGAGGCGUUCAAAGGUUCCCUCAGCACGGUUGGAAAUCGUGCGUCGAGCGUAAAGGUAUAAGGGAGCUUGACUGCAAGACAUACAAGUCGAGCAGGGACGAAAGUCGGACUUAGUGAUCCGGUGGUCCUGAAUGGAAAGGCCAUCGCUCAACGGAUAAAAGCUACCCCGGGGAUAACAGGCUUAUCUCCCCCAAGAGUUCAUAUCGACGGGGAGGUUUGGCACCUCGAUGUCGGCUCGUCGCAUCCUGGAGCUGGAGCAGGUUCCAAGGGUUGGGCUGUUCGCCCAUUAAAGCGGUACGUGAGCUGGGUUCAGAACGUCGUGAGACAGUUUGGUCCAUAUCCGGUGCAAGCGCAGGAAACUUGAAAGGAGUUCUUCCUAGUACGAGAGGACCGGAAGGAACAGACCUCUAGUGUACCAGUUGUGGGGCUUCCUGCAAACGCUGGGUAGCUAUGUCUGGACGGGAUAAACGCUGAAAGCAUCUAAGCGUCAAGCCCCCCUUAAGAUUAGGUUUCCCACCCCCACACCAAACCAACAUAUAAUAAGAUGAUGGAUAUUUAAUAUCUAUCCGGUUUGGUGUGGGGGGUAAGACUCCGGAAAGAACAUCCGGUUGAUAGGCUGGAGGUGUAAAGGCAGUAAUGUCUGAGCUGACCAGUACUAAUUAGUCGAGGACUUGACCUU